UACGAAGGGGGCUAGCGUUGCUCGGAAUCACUGGGCGUAAAGCGCACGUAGGCGGCUUUCUAAGUCAGGGGUGAAAUCCUGGAGCUCAACUCCAGAACUGCCUUUGAUACUGGCGGUCUCGAGUCCGGGAGAGGUGAGUGGAACUGCGAGUGUAGAGGUGAAAUUCGUAGAUAUUCGCAAGAACACCAGUGGCGAAGGCGGCUCACUGGCCCGGUACUGACGCUGAGGUGCGAAAGCGUGGGGAGCAAACAGGG
rnacentral:rRNA from 1 species